UACAGAGACUGCAAGCGUUAUUCGGCUUCACUGGGCGUAAAGGGUGCGCAGGCGGCCAAGUGUGUGAGGCGUGAAAGCCUGGGGCUUAACCCCAGAAUUGCACCUCAAACUAUUUGGCUAGAGCAUUGGAGAGGGUAGCAGAAUUCAUGGUGUAGCAGUGAAAUGCGUAGAUAUCAUGAGGAAUACCAGAGGCGAAGGCGGCUACCUGGACAAUUGCUGACGCUCAGGCACGAAAGCGUGGGGAGCAAAAGGG
rnacentral:rRNA from 1 species